rnacentral:rRNA from 1 species
UACGAGUGCCCCAAGCGUUAUCCGGAAUCAUUGGGCGUAAAGGGUGUGUAGGUGGCGAUGUUAGUCUUCUGUCAAAUUCUUCGGCUUAACCGGGGGUCUGCAGGGGAAACGGCAUUGCUCGAGGAUGCGAGGGGUCUAUGGAACUCAUGGAGUAGGGGUGAAAUCCGUUGAUAUCAUGGGGAACACCAAAAGCGAAGGCAAUAGACUGGCGCAUUCCUGACACUGAAACACGAAAGCGUGGGUAGCGAACGGG